rnacentral:rRNA from 1 species
UGAGUAGCGAGAGCAAGGUGGGAAUCCUUGCGGCCGAAUAUCCAAGGUUUCCAGAGUUAAGCUGAUCUGCUCUGGGUAAGUCGGGGCCUAAGGAGAGGCAGAGAUGCGUAUCCGAUGGACAGCAGGUAAAAGAUUCCUGCACCCCUUGUUAUCAGAACUGCGGGGACACGGGGAGGGAAGCAGAGCUGGGAAUGGAAAGCCCGGUGCAAGCGAGGUAGUCGCUGGAUUGGAAAAUCCGUCCUGCAUGAGACGAAGGCGUGAUGCGGAGCGAAACAAAGUAGCGAAGCUGCGGCCCCUUCCUGUCGAGAAAAGCCGCUAUCGUGUAGCAAGGGCCCGUACCGUAAACCGACACAGGUGGAUGAGGAGAGGAUCCUAAGGCCGGCGGGAGAAGUGUUGUUAAGGAACUCGGCAAAAUGACUCCGUAACUUCGGGAGAAGGAGUGCUGCGCAAGCAGCCGCAGAGAAAUGGCCCAAGCAACUGUUUAGCAAAAACACAGGUCUAUGCGAAACCGAAAGGUGAGGUAUAUGGGCUGACGCCUGCCCGGUGCUGGAAGGUUAAGGGGAGAGCUUAGCGCAAGCGAAGGUUUGAACUUAAGCCCCAGUAAACGGCGGCCGCAACGAUAACGGUCCUAAGGUAGCGAAAUUCCUUGUCGGGUAAGUUCCGACCCGCACGAAAGGCGUAAUGAUUUGGGCACUGUCUCAACAACACACCCGGUGAAAUUGAAAUACCAGUGAAGAUGCUGGUUACCCGCGCCAGGACGGAAAGACCCCAUGGAGCUUUACUCCAGCCUGAUACUGGGAUUCGGUAUUGCAUGUACAGGAUAGGUGGGAGGCUAAGAACUUAUGGCGCCAGCCGUAAGGGAGCCAUUGUUGGGAUACCACCCCUGCAGUACUGGGUUUCUAACCUGCGCCCGUGACCCGGGCGGGGGACAAUGUCAGGCGGGGAGUUUGACUGGGGCGGUCGCCUCCGAAAGGGUAUCGGAGGCGCUCAAAGGUCUCCUCAGGAUGGUUGGAAACCAUCCAGAGAGUGCAAAGGCAGAAGGAGGCUUGACUGCGACACCGACGGGUGGAGCAGGUACGAAAGUAGGACUUAGUGAUCCGGUGGCAUAACGUGGGAUUGCCAUCGCUCAACGGAUAAAAGCUACCCUGGGAUAACAUGCUUAUCACUCCCAAGAGUUCACAUCGACGGAGUGGUUUGGCACCUCGAUGUCGGCUCAUCGCAUCCUGGAGCUGGAGCAGGUUCCGAGGGUUGGGCUGCUCGCCCAUUAAAGCGGUACGCGAGCUGGGUUCAGAACGUCGUGAGACAGUUCGGUCCCUAUCCGGCGCGGGCGCAGGAUAUCUGAGAGGAGCUGUCCUUAGUACGAGAGGACCGGGAUGGACCGUCCGCUGGUGGACCGGUUGUCAUGCCAAUGGCACGGCCGGGUAGCCAAGACGGGAAGGGAUAAACGCUGAAGGCAUCUAAGCGUGAAGCCCCCCUCAAGAUGAGAUAUCCAGACUCGAAAGAGUGAGAGACCCCUUAGAGACGAUGAGGUAGAUAGGGCAGGGAUGGAAGCACAGUGAUGUGUGGAGUUGACUGUUACUAAUCGGUCGAUAGCUUGAAAA